GACAGAGGGUGCAAACGUUGUUCGGAAUUACUGGGCGUAAAGCGCGUGUAGGCGGCUAUGCAAGUCGGAUGUGAAAGCCCUCGGCUCAACCGGGGAAGUGCACCCGAAACUGCAAAGCUAGAGUCUCGGAGAGGAUCGUGGAAUUCUCGGUGUAGAGGUGAAAUUCGUAGAUAUCGAGAGGAACACCGGUGGCGAAGGCGGAUCUCUGGGCCAUUACUGACGCUGAGGAGCGAAAGCGUGGGGAGCGAACAGG
rnacentral:rRNA from 1 species